ACACGCGCGCUGCGGCAUGGCGGCCCACCGCCCCGGCCCGCUCAAGCAGCAGAAUAAAGCUCAUAAAGGCGGACGGCAUCGGGGUCGGGGAUCUGCACAGCGGGACGGCAAGGGUAAGGAGAUAACGUAGAAGGAAUAAGGGCUAUUUGGCCGUUAUUAACUCUUUUUCCUCAUGCCCAGACUGAGCUUCUGUCUCCCGUCUGGGCUCCACGCGAAAGGCCCUUUCUAAGGUGGGCGGAGAGGAGUCCCUUUUCUUGACCUUGUGGGGCCGAUCACACCAGCCCCUUCUAAUCUGCCAUUCAGGCCGUCUGGCACUGAAAACCCUAAGCAAGAAGGUGAGAAAAGAACUCAGCAGAGUCGACCAGAGGCAUCGCGCCAGCCAGCUCCGAAAGCAGAAGAAGGAGGCGGUUCUGGCAGAGAAGAGACAGCUGGGUGGCAAGGAUGGCCCUCCUCAUCAGGUACUGGUGGUGCCCCUGCACAGCAGAAUUUCCCUGCCAGAGGCCAUGCAGCUGCUUCAAGAUAGGGACACUGGAACAGUACACUUGAAUGAAUUGGGAAACACCCAGAACUUUA
rnacentral:lncRNA from 1 species